GUACGGACACACAGCAGGCACCUGGGUUUGGUGCACUGUCUCUCUAGUGAGGCUUUCUGUCCGUCCUUUCCUGGGACUGUGGCCGUUGUGUGUUGGUUGUGGUCUUAAUCCCUGGCAUGUACAGUAAGCAUUCCUGUGCUGAUUAGAAAUGUGAACCCACAGUUCAGCCGAGAUCCUAUGAUCCAUGACCGUGAGCACUCGAGAUGAGAUGUCCCAGGAUUGUGACCCGUUUUGCAGACUGAAAGUAGUGUUGGGCUCUCAUUAAAUCUCCUUGUUUUUCCUUUCUUAACAGAGAUUGGUGCUGAGCCAAAUGACAAAAUCUAUGUCAAAGUGGUCCAGCAGGUCCAUACUGAGAGAGCUUCUCAACAGGCAGCAGCUCAAGCUCCUCUGCAGGCUGGAGGUCCUCCUAGAAGAGCAGGUCCCAGCACAGGGGGAAGACCUUCCCCUGCCGUGUGCCCCCGCUCUGUCUCCAACACCCAUGGCUGGAUAUAAACGCAAGGGCUUGGAGGAAGAGAAACCAACAGCAGCUCAGCAGCCUUCCAAUAAGAGAGUGAGGGGGCCGAGUGGAGACAGCGUGCCGGCUCCAGCAGCACACCCUGGGCCUGCUGCAGCGCGGAGCUCCAAGCAAAGAGCAAGAAGACAGAGACAGAAAGAGAGGAGAGUGGAGCUGAAGAAGGCUGCCCUCAGAGCUGCCGCUGCACGUGCAGAGGCCUCCGCAGUGGACAGCCUUGUGGAGAUGAUGCAGAAGCUGCAGCUGAAGGACUGAGAGGAGGAGCGUCAGCAGGCAGCAGCUUCUGCAGUGCGCGGCGUUACAGGGCAGCGCUGAGUGCCGCCCAUCUCAGCACUCCACCUUCAAACGUAGUCAAUAAACACCAGUCAAAUUUA
ensembl:lncRNA